AGGCAGGAGAAUUGCUUGAACUCUGGAGGCAGAGGCUGCAGUGAGCCCAGAUCAUGCCACUGCACUCCAGCCUGGGCAACAACAGGAAAACUCCAUCUCAAAAAGAAAAAAAAAAAGAAAAAAAGAAGAAGAGGAGGUGAGGGGAGGGAAGGGGAGAGGAGGAGAGGGGAGGGGAGGGGAGGGGAGGGGAAGGGAAGGGAGGGAAGCUUGGUAGAGGAGCAAUGAUUCCUGAACUGGCUUUUUUUUUUUUUCUUUUUAAACUACAGGUGACCAAACAGAACUUCUCCAGUACAAGUCUGUCUGUCAUUCCAUUUGACAUUGUAUUGUAGGCAUAAGCCCUGCCUUCCAGUUCCUUGGCAGUGGUGAAGCAGUAUGGAGCUGGGGCAGGGAGGUGGCACAUUAUAGGACUGUGAGAACACUGCUCCUUUAUACAUAAAAUUCCUACACAAUGGAUCACUUGAGGUCAAGAGUUUGAGACCAGCCUGGCCAACAUGGUGAGACCCUGUCUCUACUAAAAAUACAAAAAUUAGCCCAGCUUGGUGGCAGGCGCCUGUAAUCCCAUCUAUUUGGGAGGCGAGGAAUGAGAAUUGCUUGAAGCCAGGAGGCGGAGGUUGCAGUGAGCCAAGACCAUGCUACUGCACUCCAGCCUGGGUGGCUGGGUGAGACUGUGUCUCAAAACAAAAACAAAAAACAAAAAACAAAACAAACAAAACAAACAAAAAAUUCCUACCCGAGAAGACUCAUGACUCUGGAACACAGUGAGUGCAGCUGUUAUGGUAAG
rnacentral:lncRNA from 10 species